rnacentral:rRNA from 1 species
UGGGGAAUUUUGGACAAUGGGCGAAAGCCUGAUCCAGCAAUGCCGCGUGUGUGAAGAAGGCCUUCGGGUUGUAAAGCACUUUUGUCCGGAAAGAAAUCCUUGGCUCUAAUACAGUCGGGGGAUGACGGUACCGGAAGAAUAAGCACCGGCUAACUACGUGCCAGCAGCCGCGGUAAUACGUAGGGUGCAAGCGUUAAUCGGAAUUACUGGGCGUAAAGCGUGCGCAGGCGGUUUGCUAAGACCGAUGUGAAAUCCCCGGGCUCAACCUGGGAACUGCAUUGGUGACUGGCAGGCUAGAGUAUGGCAGAGGGGGGUAGAAUUCCACGUGUAGCAGUGAAAUGCGUAGAGAUGUGGGGGAAUACCGAUGGCGAAGGCAGCCCCCUGGGCCAAUACUGACGCUCAUGCACGAAAGCGUGGGGGAGCAAAACAGGAUUAGAUACCCUGGUAGUCCACGCCCUAAAACGAUGUCAACUAGUUGUUGGGGAUUCAUUUCCUUAGUAACGUAGCUAACGCGUGAAGUUGACCGCCUGGGGAGUAC